UACGGGGGGUGCGAGCGUUGUCCGGCAUCACUGGGCGUAAAGGGCGCGUAGGUGGUUUGAUAAGGGUGUGGUGAAAGUCCGGGGCUCAACCCCGGAUCUGCCGUGCCGACUGUCAAACUCGAGGACUGUAGAGGCAGACGGAAUUCCGGGUGUAGCGGUGGAAUGCGUAGAGAUCCGGAGGAAGACCGGUGGCGAAGGCGGUCUGCUGGGCAGUUUCUGACACUGAGGCGCGACAGCGUGGGGAGCAAACAGG
rnacentral:rRNA from 1 species